rnacentral:rRNA from 1 species
AAUAGAUACCCGGUAGUCCACGCCGUAAACGAUGGAUACUAGUUGUUGGAGGACUCGACCCCUUCAGUGACGACGCUAACGCAUUAAGUAUCCCGCCUGGGGAGUACGGUCGCAAGAUUAAAACUCAAAGGAAUAGACGGGGACCCACACAAGCGGUGGAGCACCUGGCUUAAUUCGAUACUGAGCGAGGAACCUUACCUGGACUUGACAUCCCGAGAAUUCUCUAGAAAUAGGGAAGUGCCUUCUGGAACUCGGUGACAGGUGCUGCAUGGUUGUCGUCAGCUCGUGCCUUGAGGUGUUCGGUUAAGUCCGUAAACGAGCGCAACCCAUGUCCUGUGUUGUAUUUCUCACAGGAGACUGCCGAUUCAAAAUCGGAGGAAGGUAUGGAUGACGUCAAAUCAGCAUGGCCCUUAUGUCCAGGGCUGCACAGGUGCUACAAUGGAUGGUACAACGGGUAGCAAUGCCGCAAGGCGAGCCAAUCCUUAAAGCCAUCCCAAGUUCGGAUUGGGGGCUGCAACUCCG